rnacentral:misc_RNA from 1 species
GAUGAAGAACGUAGCGAAACGCGAUAGGUAAUGUGAAUUGCAGAAUUCAGUGUAUCAUCGAAUCUUUGAACGCAUCUUGCGCUUGCUGGUAUUCCGGCAAGCAUGCCUGUUUGAGUGUCAUGAAACUUAUCAACCGUGACUUGGGUUUAGGCCCCUGGCUCGGCUUGGAUUUGGGUGCUUGCGGCCUCGUGCUGCUCACCUUAAAAGGAUUAGCUGGACAUGUCGUGAGACCUGGUUCUACUUGGCGUAAUAAGUAUUUCGCUGAGGACAUCCCCUCGUGGGGUGGCCAAGACUCUAGUGCAAACGUCUGCUUUCUAACCCGAUCGUCCUCGGACAUCACUUUUUAUGAUGUGGCCUCAAAUCAGGUAGGACUACCCGCUGAACUUAAGCAUAUCAAUAAGCGGAGGA